rnacentral:rRNA from 1 species
AACGUGGGAGGCGAGCGUUAUCCGUAAUAACUGGGCGUAAAGAGCGUGUAGGCGGCAACGCAAGUUGGGUGUGAAAUCUUUCGGCUCAACCGAAAGGAGACGCUCAAAACUGCGUCGCUCGAGGGCAGGAGGAGAAAGUGGAACUCCCGGUGUAGCGGUAGAAUGCGGAUAUCGGGAGGAACCCCAGCAGCGAAGGCGGCUUUCUAUUCUGUUCCUGACGCUGAGGCGCGAAAGCCAGGGGAGCGAACAGGAUUAGAUACCCGUGUAGUCCCUGAG